GGGGGGGAGGGGGCGGGGUCAGGGGAGGAGGCGGAGUCUGUUAAAUAAGCGGGGGCGGGGCCAGGCGGCUGUCAAUCAAAUGGAGCUGUCAAUCAAACGGGGCUGUCAAUCAACCCGGGCUGUCAAUCAAAUGGAGCUGUCAAUCAAAUGGAGCUGUCAAUCAAAUUGAGCUGUCAAUCAAACGGGGCUGUCAAUCAAACCUAUCCUUCAAAUUGACCUGUCAAUCAAAGGGAUAUCGAUCAAUUUGAGCUGUCAAUCAAAGAGCUAUCAAUCAAUUGGAGCUGUCAAUCAAUUCUAUCCAUCACAUAGAGCUGUCAAUCAAACACAAGGGAUCAAAUCGAGCUGUCAAUCAAAGACACUCACCGGCCCCUCCUCACCGGGGGGGGUCUCUUGCUGUGGGGGGGGGCUCCUCGUCCGCCGCCCCCCCC
rnacentral:lncRNA from 1 species